rnacentral:rRNA from 1 species
UACGGGGGGGGCAAGCGUUGUUCGGAAUUACUGGGCGUAAAGGGCUCGUAGGCGGCCAACUAAGUCCGACGUGAAAUCCCCAGGCUUAACCUGGGAACUGCGUCGGAUACUGGAUGGCUUGAAUCCGGGAGAGGGAUGCGGAAUUCCAGGUGUAGCGGUGAAAUGCGUAGAUAUCAAUAGGAACUCCGGUGGCGAAGGCGGCACGCUGGACCUCUUCUGACGCUGAGGCGCGAAAGCCAGGGGAGCAAACGGG